rnacentral:rRNA from 1 species
GCCUAUAGCUAUACCACCCUGAAAGCUCCUGACUUCAUUUGAUCUCAGAAGCUACGCAGGGUCUGAUCUGGUUAGCUUCGAGUGUGAGCCAGAGGUGGGUG